UACGUAGGGGGCGAGCGUUGUCCGGAUUCAUUGGGCGUAAAGCGCGCGUAGGCGGCUCCGCAAGUCGGCCGUGAAAUCUCCGGGCUCAACUCGGAGGGGUCGGGCGAGACUGCGGGGCUCGAGGUGGGCAGAGGGCAGUGGAAUUCUGGGUGUAGUGGUGGAAUGCGUAGAGAUCCGGAGGAACACCAGUGGCGAAGGCGGCUGCCUGGGCCUGGCCUGACGCUGAGGCGCGAAAGCGUGGGGAGCAAUCCGG
rnacentral:rRNA from 1 species